rnacentral:lncRNA from 1 species
GCUGGAUUUUGGAAUUGACAAACAUUAGUUGUAUAUGUGUAUUCAGGUAAAGAAAAUACAUGGUAUUCAAACUAUUCUGGUUUCUCUAUUAAAUCGAAGAUGACAACGACAUCGACGAAGGUCUGUAUGCUCCUGUUGUCAAGUCUGCUUGAUAUUUUUCUUCUAAUUUUAGCUAGCUCUGCCUGGUGAAAGCAUUCUUCCAUGCCAAGUAGCCAGUCAGCUUGCCAACAUGAUACAGAGUAGCGUUUAGUGACUUUUUCACUCAUGUAAACAUGCAUUUAUUUCAGGCACUAAGAAAAAACACACGUGUUCUAAAAUGCUUUCCAUUGCAGGUUGUUCUUGAAGGAUUAGUUUUGUAUAUCUUCUAUUAUUUAAUAAACAUUAAAUGCUCGGUUCAUUUCAACCUGAACCGUAUUGUUGGAGACAUGCUCUAUAGUAAGUCGCUGAUUUCCAAGUAUUCAGGCAAAAAAAAGGCGUGUUUAGUCAGAUUUAGCUUUUGAACUUCCCUCGAGAUAUGGCCCAACCAUCAUAUUUUAAAUAGCUUCUGUUUUCUAAAUACGAGACACUGGACAUGACAGUAUGUAACAAUGUGUCGAUGUUACUUUUCAUUUACAUUCACAUGCUGUUGUAGUGUUCCAGGCUUGCAAAUGAUAAAACAUUUCAAGUAAGUGUGCAGUACCACUCACUCGUUCCUAAUAAAUAUGCAAGCUUUUUUAUCCUCUGUUUUUCUUUACCCAGUGAAACUCUUUGAACAGGGCACUCUUGGUUAAGUCUGAUUCUUUUAGUUCAUAAAUAUGUACAGGGAUGAGGCGGCAAUAGUUGCAUUCUCUGUAUAUGAACGGAAGACCUAGAAGGUCGUCUCCUCGAAAGGGAUGCUUCAUUUACAAGAGCGGCUCUCCCCAACAACACUGUUGUGAUGUACCGAAGCCUCCCGUUGCACAUGCUGGGUACUUACACCUCAACGUCACUUCUAUGAGUUGUGGCCUAGGUUAGAUCGAUCCCUAAUCUCUGUUCCAAUUUAUUCUGGUGUCAUUAUUCUCAGGAUCCUUUUAAAUAGUGAUUUAUGCGCUGCUUUUGUAUUUUUGGGGCUGGAGAUUGUAGGUUGAUUUAGAUUGCUAACUAGAUUCAGGAAUUAAGUAUCAAUUCAUUUGUGUAUUUCUUAGAGAAUUAACCUGGCCAGCAUAAAUGGAUUGGCACCAUAUUUGGAUUGAGUAUUAUAGUUACAUUAAGUUUAUUCCCUGUAAGGCUAUAAUUUUCUACCUAUUUUUCCUAACCUGUAAUGUCUUUACCUCAGGCAUGUUAGCGCGCAGAGUAUAUGGUGUAUAUGUCCUUGCUUAUCCGUUCCAUUUCUGCAGUUCCUUGACACAAUGUGAUACUCUGCAUUGUUAAGUAUACUUAAUUUGAUUUUAUAGAAUAGGGCUGCUACUUUAUAUUUUGGUAAAGAAGAGGAUGAUGUUUUGGUCCAUGAUAUUAUAAUUGAUGUGGUUCUUGCAUGAACCAGUAUGUGAUUAUUUCCAGUUCUGCAACAGAGUGAGUAACUAGAAACUUUAGCUUGUUCCAAUUUUAAUGCAUACGUAUCUUUUGAUUGUGGAAAUAAACACUCGAUAACCUUUGACCGCAACAUCAAAUGAUAUGUUAUCAAAUUUUCAUUGAGCUUUGGAAGUUGAAUCUGCCAUAUAUGUGAGCUAAUAUCUAAUGCAAGUGUGAAUAUAUCUUUUGUUGGGUGAUGUGGUCUCCUUUAUUUCACUUAUAUAACUGAGCUUCGGAGAAGGCCGUUUUAUGCCAUUUGAUUUCCCUUCUCAUGACUUAAAGGAGGAGGUGAUAUUAGAUUAUUGUUAUGGUAGGUGUAAUCUUUUGUCUUUGAUGGUAUUAUAUAUUAUGAGUAUGGAGUUAUCUUAUUCCAAGUACAGAAGGAAUUGAAUCUGCCUUGCAUGACCAAUGUUUUUAUCUACGAAUGACCUUAUUCCAUUUUCUACACCUCGACAUACAGAUCAGCAUGUGUAUGUGCCACAGCUUGUGGGAGGGACAAAAUGGGAGGUCGCCUUGAAAUUGUGGAAGUGCAAGGGAGGCCGGAAGAGUGCAUUGCUACGCUGCUGCCCUGUUUCUCCUUAUUGCUGCCGACUCACCUUCGUGUAGCGCUAUUUCCAUAGGUAUAAGAGUUUCAGCUCCUGCAAGUCGUCAUUUUGUACUGAAUCUUGCCCUAUGUAAAUGUCCAGCCUGAAACAUGUUACCAAUGAAUGGAUAAGUAUAUAUUCAAUGCUUGUGGUUAUAGU